rnacentral:rRNA from 1 species
AACACAUGCUAGUCGAACGAGAAACGGAUUUGGUCGUUCGGGAUGUCAGCUAAGUGGCGGACGGGUGAGUAAUGUAUAGUUAAUCUGCCCUUUGGAGGGGGAUAACAGUUGGAAACGACUGCUAAUACCCCAUAUUCCUUUAUACUUAAUGUAUAUUGGGAAACGAAUUUUGCCAAAGGAUGAGACUAUAUGGUAUCAGGUUUUUGGUGGGGUAAAAGGCCUACCAAGGCUAUGACGCUUAACUGGUUUGAGAGAAUGAUCAGUCACACUGGAACUGAGACACGGUCCAGACUCCUACGGGAGGCAGCAGUGGGGAAUAUUGCACAAUGGACGAAAGUCUGAUGCAGCAACGCCGCGUGGAGGAUGACACAUUUCGGUGCGUAAACUCCUUUUAUAUGGGAAGAUAAUGACGGUACCAUAUGAAUAAGCACCGGCUAACUCCGUGCCAGCAGCCGCGGUAAUACGGAGGGUGCAAGCGUUACUCGGAAUCACUGGGCGUAAAGAGAAUGUAGGCGGGUUAAUAAGUUGGAAGUGAAAUCCUAUGGCUCAACCAUUGAACUGCAUUUGAAACUGAUAGCCUAGAAUAUGGGAGAGGUAGAUGGAAUUUCUGGUGUAGGGGUAAAAUCCGUAGAGAUCAGAAGGAAUACCGAUUGCGAAGGCGAUCUACUGGAACAUUAUUGACGCUGAGACGCGAAAGCGUGGGGAGCAAACAGGAUUAGAUACCCUGGUAGUCCACGCCCUAAACGAUGCACACUAGUUGUUGCUAUGCUAGACAUAGCAGUAAUGCAGUUAACACAUUAAGUGUGCCGACUGGGGAGUACGGUCGCAAGAUUAAAAAUCAAAGGAAUAGACGGGGACCCGCACAAGUGGUGGAGCAUGUGGUUUAAUUCGAAAAUACGCGAAGAACCUUACCAAGCCUUGACAUUGAUUGAAUCCCGUAGAGAUACAGGAGUGCUAGUUUACUAGAACAUGAAAACAGGUGCUGCACGGCUGUCGUCAGCUCGUGUCGUGAGAUGUUGGGUUAAGUCCCGCAACGAGCGCAACCCUCGUCGUUAGUUGCUAACAGUUCGGCUGAGCACUCUAGCGAGACUGCCUUCGCAAGGAGGAGGAAGGUGAGGACGACGUCAAGUCAUCAUGGCCCUUAUGGCUUGGGCUACACACGUGCUACAAUGGGGCGUACAGAGAGUUGCAAUACGGCGAGAUGGAGCAAAUCUCAAAAACACCUCCCAGUUCGGAUUGUUCUCUGCAACUCGAGAACAUGAAGUUGGAAUCGCUAGUA